rnacentral:lncRNA from 1 species
AAAAAUCAAAUCGGCAUCUGGUUAAAUCGGCAUCUAGUCAAAUCGGCACCUAUUUAAAGUCAAUUCGGCACCGAAUUAUAUUUGAUGUAAACUAUAUAAACUUCAAAAAUGUAUAAAUGAUCUUUCUAUUUCUAAUUAUUCUUAGGGUUUUCUCAACAUUCUAUAGAUAAUUCAGACUGUUGUUUUGAUUAGUUUUCUUUUCAAUUAAUAAAUUUUAAGAAUUCACUAGACUAGUCAGGCUAUACAAAUCUUUGUUGAUUGAAAAGUCAACCAAACCAAUGUCUUGCUAUAUUAUUAAAAGAGCUGCAACUCUCUCUCUCUAUAUAUAUAUAUAUAUAUAUUUAUCAUAUGUUUAGUAGUAAAUACAGUAGUUUUGCAUAUUUGAUAAAUAGCCUGCUGUUUAAUCCAUAUCGCGCAACUUUGAUGCGCACCCUUUAUCGCAUACCCUUUAUCACACCCUACCCUUUAUCGCAUACCCUUUAUCACACCUCUACCCUUUAUCACACCUCUACCCUUUAUCACACCCCUACUUUUUUUUUUUC